AGGGGUACAGCUCAGGGGUGGAGCGCGUACUUGGCGUGCACGAGGUCCUGGGUUCAAUGCCCGGUGCCUCUG
rnacentral:tRNA from 1 species